rnacentral:rRNA from 1 species
GUAGGUAAGCGAUGGAAGGACGCAGGAAGGUAGCCUCCGCGUGGCGAUGGUAGUCCACGUCCAAGAGCGCAGGGCCGGGGAGUGGUAAAUCCGCCCCAUCAGUGCCUCAGGCUUGAUAGUGACCGCGUAUGCGGGAAGCAGGGUGAUCCUAUGCUGCCGAGAAAAGUUUCUAGCGAGGUUCUAGCCGCCCGUACCCCAAACCGACUCAGGUGGUUGGGUAGAGAAUACCAAGGCGAUCGAGUGAAUCGUGGUUAAGGAAUUCGGCAAAAUGCCCCCGUAACUUCGGGAGAAGGGGGGCCCC